rnacentral:rRNA from 1 species
GACGAACGCUGGCGGCGUGCUUAACACAUGCAAGUCGAGCGGUAAGGCUCCUUCGGGAGUACACGAGCGGCGAACGGGUGAGUAACACGUGAGCAAUCUGCCCUUCACACGGGGAUAACUUCGGGAAACCGAAGCUAAUACCCGAUACGACCACCUCAGGCAUCUGAUGGGGGUGGAAAGUUCCGGCGGUGAAGGAUGAGCUCGCGGCCCAUCAGCUUGUUGGUGGGGUAACGGCCCACCAAGGCAACGACGGGUAGCCGGCCUGAGAGGGUGACCGGCCACACUGGGACUGAGACACGGCCCAGACUCCUACGGGAGGCAGCAGUGGGGAAUAUUGGACAAUGGGCGAAAGCCUGAUCCAGCAACGCCGCGUGAGGGAUGACGGCCUUCGGGUUGUAAACCUCUUUCAGCAGGGACGAAGCGCAAGUGACGGUACCUGUAGAAGAAGCACCGGCCAACUACAUGCCAGCCGCCGCCGUAAAAC